GAAUAGGGGAGCCGGAGGGAAACCGAGUCUUAACCGGGCGUUAAGUUGCAGGGUAUAGACCCGAAACCCGGUGAUCUAGCCAUGGGCAGGUUGAAGGUUGGGUAACACUAACUGGAGGACCGAACCGACUAAUGUUGAAAAAUUAGCGGAUGACCUGUGGCUGGGGGUGAAAGGCCAAUCAAACCGGGAGAUAGCUGGUUCUCCCCGAAAGCUAUUUAGGUAGCGCCUCGUGAAUUCAUCUCCGGGGGUAGAGCACUGUUUCGGCUAGGGGGCCAUCCCGGCUUACCAACCCGAUGCAAACUGCGAAUACCGGAGAAUGUUAUCACGGGAGACACACGGCGGGUGCUAACGUCCGUCGUGAAGAGGGAAACAACCCAGACCGCCAGCUAAGGUCCCAAAGUCAUGGUUAAGUGGGAAACGAUGUGGGAAGGCCCAGACAGCCAGGAUGUUGGCUUAGAAGCAGCCAUCAUUUAAAGAAAGCGUAAUAGCUCACUGGUCGAGUCGGCCUGCGCGGAAGAUGUAACGGGGCUAAACCAU
rnacentral:rRNA from 2 species